rnacentral:tRNA from 1 species
UGGUCUAGUGGUAAGGCUUUGGAUCGCCAAUCCGGAGACGGCGGGUUCGAUUCCCGU